GUCACUUCGUCAUAACUUUCUCGAAUUCGCUCGGGAUGCUCUCUCUUAAGUCCUGUUUCUCUCAAAUAAAACAACAACAACCACAAGGCCCAAUUCGCUCCGCCAUCCCGAAUAUCGGCGAAGCUUUUUCAAUAAGCAGCAAAUUCGCAAAGGCAAAGCGCAGCAACGUCGAACCAAUGGCCGAAAUGAUUUUUGGUGACGAUAACUUUAGAGGUGUUCUUAACUAAUUCGCUAAUGCUGAUUCUGACUACGUACUCGCUUGUUGGCCAUCACAUCCAGAUUUUGUGAAAUCAGAGGAUCUGGGAUUGGAAAAUAGUCUUCCAAAAGUAUUCUAGAGAAAGUUAUAAAUUGUUUUUCUUUAUUUUUAACAGAUUUUACAUCAUCCUGUUCAAGAAAAAUAGCCUUGUU